ensembl:snRNA U6 U6 spliceosomal RNA
GUGCUUACUUUGGCAGCACACACGCCAAAACCAGAACGACACAGAGAAGGUUCACGAGGCUCCUGUGGAAGGAUGACAUUCGAAUUCUUGAAGGGUUUCAUAUAUUU